rnacentral:rRNA from 1 species
UACCAGCCCCGCGAGUGGUCGGGACGGUUAUUGGGCCUAAAGCGCCCGUAGCCGGCCUAGCAAGUCUCCGCGGAAAUCCCCGGGCCUAACCCGGGGGCUUGCGGAGAUACUGCUAGGCUAGGGGGCGGGAGAGGCCGGGGGUACUCCCGGGGUAGGGGCGAAAUCCUAUAAUCCCGGGAGGACCACCAGUGGCGAAGGCGCCCGGCUGGAACGCGCCCGACGGUGAGGGGCGAGAGCGUGGGGAGCAAACAGG